CACUCUAAGCGGUGGAUCACUCGGCUCAUGGGUCGAUGAAGAACGCAGCAAACUGUGCGUCAUCGUGUGAACUGCAGGACACAUGAACAUCGACAUUUUGAACGCAUAUCUUUAUUUAAUUAAUUUUAUAGUGCUGCUUGGACUACAUAUGGUUGAGGGUUG
rnacentral:rRNA from 1 species